rnacentral:lncRNA from 1 species
GGCCAGAGAGGAUCGAAACAGUUGAUGCUCCAAAGGACCUGGAAGUUUUGAUUCAGAAACUAAGAAGCUGCAUUAAAGACAGGUUGUAUACUUGUCCUCUUGCGAUGGGAAUGGUAGGAGGCAAGAGAUCCCUUCCCCUUUCUCUUCAUAGCUCUGGAAGAUACAAGAGGGGAAAAGAUGGGUAUGGAUAUUGGACGGGAGUUUACCACUGCCUGUUUGCACCCAGUUGGAUGUUACUAUCCUGAGUUCAGCUAGUGAGGAGCAUCUUAUCUGGUCAACUCUAUACCAC